GUGCCAGCAGCCGCGGUAAUACGUAGGUCCCGAGCGUUAUCCGGAUUUAUUGGGCGUAAAGCGAGCGCAGGCGGUUAGAUAAGUCUGAAGUUAAAGGCUGUGGCUUAACCAUAGUACGCUUUGGAAACUGUUUAACUUGAGUGCAGAAGGGGAGAGUGGAAUUCCAUGUGUAGCGGUGAAACGCGUAGAUAUAUGGAGGAACACCGGUGGCGAAAGCGGCUCUCUGGUCUGUAACUGACGCUGAGGCUCGAAAGCGUGGGGAGCAAACAGGAUUAGAUA
rnacentral:rRNA from 1 species